CAUCUGGGAGGCGAUUUCCAGGAGAGAACUGCUACCUCCAGGAGACCAGGAGAUUGUGGAGGCCGGGGAGAUGGAGUAGGGCAGAGCUGAGAUUGCUAAAGGGGAGGCGGGGAGGCGGCCUACAAAAAGACCUGAACUUACACCGCCAUCUGCUGGAAGUGUUUUCGGACAUUUCCCGGCUUUGCUCAGGGAGAGGAAGAGGUCGAGACACAGCGAGAGACACAAAGAGAGAGACAGAGACAAGAAAUGCACCUCACGGCUAUGGAAGAGAUAGCCUGCUUAACGACGGACCAAAAUAGUGCACAUAAUCAAAGCGCUUUCUCUUUCAAGAGAGCAUCUUUCUCCCAGAAGCUUAAAAUGUUUUGUCAACGAUAACUCCAGUGUCUUCACAACAUUUCUUGGAAGAAGUUGACGGGUAACUCAUUUCCUCCACCGGCUUCUCGUUCUUGAAUGUCAAAGCAACAACAGAAGAGGCUCAAGAGCAAAGUGAUGACCCAAAACAAAAGACAUCCCAUGAUAAACCGUGGGUGUUUUCAGACUUAAUAUUUGAGCCGUUUCUCUCCGGUGGGGUUGGGUGAAACUUGGAACAACCAGUGAACAGAUGGAGCUCUCAGGAGUCUCCCAUUUCCACCCUCCUCCUCCUCCUCCUCCUCUUUCUCCUCCUCCCCGCUUUCCCCCACCCCCGCCACCCCUGUCACCUGAUGGAGGCUGAGUUUGUUUCAGGAAAUAGGGAGCAGAUUGAGAGACGAAAGCAAAUUCAACCCUUCGUAUGUUUCGUUUAUCAUCCUUCUCCAGUUUCGGCUGAGUGAGGAUUUAAUCGACCCUAACAACCUCCUUAGCAUUUAGAUAUUUUCAUCUUAUUCUUAGCACUUGUGUCCAUGGGCAUAUUUAUUUGUAUAAACAUUUAUUUAUUUAGCAAUUUUUUCUUGACAAUGGCCUGUUAUAAACUGGUUCUUCCACCCGCUUCCUCUCUUUGUAAAUAAAGUCUGUCUCCUUAAGACAGGGAGCAUG